rnacentral:tRNA from 1 species
CCUUUGAUAGCUCAGCUGAUAGAGUGGAGGACUGUAGAUUAUAUAUCUGUGGGAAUGUUUAGGUUGAUGGUUUGAUUCCAGUUCAAAGGA